AACGAACGCUGGCGGCAUGCCUAACACAUGCAAGUCGAACGAAGGCUUCGGCCUUAGUGGCGCACGGGUGCGUAACGCGUGGGAAUCUGCCCUUGGGUUCGGAAUAACAGUGAGAAAUUACUGCUAAUACCGGAUGAUGACUUCGGUCCAAAGAUUUAUCGCCCAAGGAUGAGCCCGCGUAAGAUUAGCUAGUUGGUGAGGUAAAGGCUCACCAAGGCGACGAUCUUUAGCUGGUCUGAGAGGAUGAUCAGCCACACUGGGACUGAGACACGGCCCAGACUCCUACGGGAGGCAGCAGUGGGGAAUAUUGGACAAUGGGCGAAAGCCUGAUCCAGCAAUGCCGCGUGAGUGAUGAAGGCCUUAGGGUUGUAAAGCUCUUUUACCAGGGAUGAUAAUGACAGUACCUGGAGAAUAAGCUCCGGCUAACUCCGUGCCAGCAGCCGCGGUAAUACGGAGGGAGCUAGCGUUGUUCGGAAUUACUGGGCGUAAAGCGCACGUAGGCGGCCAUUCAAGUCAGAGGUGAAAGCCCGGGGCUCAACCCCGGAACUGCCUUUGAAACUAGAUGGCUUGAAUCUUGGAGAGGCGAGUGGGAUUCCGAGUGUAGAGGUGAAAUUCGUAGAUAUUCGGAAGAACACCAGUGGCGAAGGCGACUCGCUGGACAAGUAUUGACGCUGAGGUGCGAAAGCGUGGGGAGCAAACAGG
rnacentral:rRNA from 1 species